AGAGUUUGAUCCUGGCUCAGGACGAACGCUGGCGGCGUGCCUAACACAUGCAAGUCGAGCGAUCUUCUUCGGAAGAGAGCGGCGGACGGGUGAGUAACGCGUGGGUAACCUGCCUCAUACACAUGGAUAACAUACCGAAAGGUACGCUAAUACAAGAUGAUAUAAGAGAUUCGCAUGGAUUUCUUAUCAAAGCUCCGGCGGUAUGAGAUGGACCCGCGUCUGAUUAGCUAGUUGGUAAGGUAAUGGCUUACCAAGGCGACGAUCAGUAGCCGACCUGAGAGGGUGAUCGGCCACAUUGGAACUGAGACACGGUCCAAACUCCUACGGGAGGCAGCAGUGGGGAAUAUUGCACAAUGGGCGCAAGCCUGAUGCAGCGACGCCGCGUGAGGGAUGGAGGCCUUCGGGUUGUAAAGCUCUGUCUUCAGGGACGAUAAUGACGGUACCUGAGGAGGAAGCCACGGCUAACUACGUGCCAGCAGCCGCGGUAAUACGUAGGGUGCAAGCGUUAUCCGGAAUUAUUGGGCGUAAAGCGAGCGCAGGCGGAUGAUUAAGUGGGAUGUGAAAUACCCGGGCUCAACUUGGGUGCUGCAUUUCAAACUGGAAGUCUAGAGUGCAGAAGAGGACAGUGGAACUCCAUGUGUAGCGGUGAAAUGCGUAGAUAUAUGGAGGAACACCAGUGGCGAAGGCGACUUUCUGGACUGUAACUGACGCUGAGGCUCGAAAGCGUGGGGAGCAAACAGGAUUAGAUACCCUGGUAGUCCACGCCGUAAACGAUGAAUACUAGGUGUAGGGGUUGUCAUGACCUCUGUGCCGCCGCUAACGCAUUAAGCAUUCCGCCUGGGGAGUACGACCGCAAGGUUGAAACUCAAAGGAAUUGACGGGGGCCCGCACAAGCAGCGGAGCAUGUGGUUUAAUUCGAAGCAACGCGAAGAACCUUACCUAGACUUGACAUCUCCUGCAUUACCCUUAAUCGGGGAAGUUCCUUCGGGGACAGGAAGACAGGUGGUGCAUGGUUGUCGUCAGCUCGUGCUGUGAGAUGUUGGGUUAAGUCCCGCAACGAGCGCAACCCUUAUUGUUAGUUGCCAUCAUUAAGUUGGGCACUCUAGCGAGACUGCCCGGGUUAACCGGGAGGAAGGUGGGGAUGACGUCAAAUCAUCAUGCCCCUUAUGUCUAGGGCUACACACGUGCUACAAUGGUCGGUACAAUAAGACGCAAGCCCGCGAGGGGGAGCAAAACUGGAAAACCGAUCUCAGUUCGGAUUGUAGGCUGAAACUCGCCUACAUGAAGCUGGAGUUGCUAGUAAUCGCGAAUCAGCAUGUCGCGGUGAAUACGUUCCCGGGCCUUGCACUCACCGCCCGUCA
rnacentral:rRNA from 1 species